rnacentral:rRNA from 1 species
UACGGGGGGUGCGGGCGUUAAUCGGAAUUACUGGGCGUAAAGGGUGCGUAGGUGGUUAAGUAAGUUAUCUGUGAAAUCCCUGGGCUCAACCUGGGCGUGUCAGAUAAGACUGCAUGACUCGAGUAUAGGAGAGGGUAGUGGAAUUUCCGGUGUAGCGGUGAAAUGCGUAGAGAUCGGAAGGAACACCGGUGGCGAAGGCGGCUGCCUGGCCUAAUACUGACACUGAGGCACGAAAGCGUGGGGAGCAAACAGG